AUUGAACGCUGGCGGCAGGCCUAACACAUGCAAGUCGAGCGGGGUUUUCGGACCUAGCGGCGGACGGGUGAGUAAUGCGUAGGAAGCUACCCGAUAGAGGGGGAUACCAGUUGGAAACGACCGUUAAUACCGCAUAAUGUCUACGGACCAAAGUGUGGGACCUUCGGGCCACAUGCUAUCGGAUGCGCCUACGUGGGAUUAGCUAGUUGGUGAGGUAAUGGCUCAUCAAGGCGACGAUCCCUAGCUGGUUUGAGAGGAUGAUCAGCCACACUGGAACUGAGACACGGUCCAGACUCCUACGGGAGGCAGCAGUGGGGAAUAUUGGACAAUGGGCGCAAGCCUGAUCCAGCCAUGCCGCGUGUGUGAAGAAGGCCUUCGGGUUGUAAAGCACUUUCAGUAGGGAGGAAGCGUUGUGUGUUAAUAGUACACAGCGUUGACGUUACCUACAGAAGAAGCACCGGCUAACUCUGUGCCAGCCGCCGCCGUAAUAC
rnacentral:rRNA from 1 species